GUCCACGCCGUAAACCAUGCGCGCUAGAUCGGGGCGGCUCUGACGCCGUCCCGGUCGCCGUAAAACAGUAAGCGCGCCGCCUGGGGAGUACGGUCGCAAGGCUAAAACUCAAAGGAAUUGACGGGGGCUCACACAAGCGGUGGAGCAUGUUGCUUAAUUCGAAGCAACGCGAAGAACCUUAUCCUGGGCUUGACAUGCACGGAUUAGUUUCAUGAAAGUGAAAUGACGCCCGCAAGGGUGGAACGUGCACAGGUGCUGCAUGGCUGUCGU
rnacentral:rRNA from 1 species